UACGAAGGGGGCGAGCGUUGUUCGGAAUUACUGGGCGUAAAGGGCGCGCAGGCGGCUCUGGAAGUCAGGGGUGAAAUCCUGGAGCUCAACUCCAGAACUGCCUUUGAUACUGAGGAUCUUGAGUUCGGGAGAGGUGAGUGGAACUGCGAGUGUAGAGGUGAAAUUCGUAGAUAUUCGCAAGAACACCAGUGGCGAAGGCGGCUCACUGGCCCGAUACUGACGCUGAGGCACGAAAGCGUGGGGAGCAAACAGG
rnacentral:rRNA from 1 species